UCUGAAGGCAUAAUUAUGGAAUUUCUGGAUUUUCCACCAAGACAUAGAAGACAGAAUCCUUUACCUACCUGCUCUGUUCUACUUUGAUCGAGAGUUUACCUAGGUUGUUGCUAUUGAUUGUACCAGAGGAAAUUUUUAUACUUUGUCAUCUCUUCUAAACUCCUUACAAACAAAAUGCCAACAGCAGAGCAAUCCAGAAACCCUUUCAUCCUCAAAAUAGAAGUCAUACUGUUGGAUAUGUGAGUUUGCAAUUGUCCACACUCAAAUGCUUCAAGAAAUGUGACACUACAUCAUCGUCCUUUAAUAUUGAGCCAAGACUGUCAUGCAGAGAGAUUACAUAAUGCUCACAGGGCUAUUCCAGAUGUGUAUCAACAGCUGUAUUUCUUUUACUUUUCACCUUGUGUCUUUAUUACAGCUUCUGAUAUAUGAAUGUGCUCCCUAACUCUAUAACUGACAUUUGUGUUUACAUUUAAUUCAGGAAAUAUUUUUCCACAACAUUCAUUAUACAUGUUUUAUUAUUUUAGGAACUAUUUAGAUGUGCUGACAGUUGUGGUGGGUACAGAAUCUAAAUACUGAUUGUGGUAGAAGCAGGUGUG